rnacentral:rRNA from 1 species
UGGUCAAGUUAUUAAGGGUGCAGGGCGGAUGCCUUGGCACUAGGAGCCGAUGAAGGACGUGAUAAGCUGCGAUAAGCUUCGGGGAGUUGCACGUAAACUUUGAUCCGAAGAUUUCCGAAUGAGGAAACUCACUUAGAGUAAUGUCUAAGUAUCAUUAAGUGAAUACAUAGCUUAAUGAGGGGAACUCAGGGAACUGAAACAUCUAAGUACCUGAAGGAAGAGAAAGAAAUUCGAUUCCGUAAGUAGCGGCGAGCGAACGCGGAUUAGCCCAAACCAAUAAAGUUUUCUUUAUUGGGGUUGCGGACAUAUCAUAACGAAGAGGUAUCGUAAUUGAAGAGGUUUGGAAAGACCCACCACAGAAGGUAAUAGUCCUGUAUGUUAAACGAGAAGACUUCAGAUAUGAUCCAGAGUACCACGGGACACGUGAAACCCUGUGGGAAGCAGGAGGGACCACCCUCCAAGGCUAAAUACUACCUAGUGACCGAUAGCGUAUAGUACCGUGAGGGAAAGGUGAAAAGAACCCCGGGAGGGGAGUGAAAUAGAACCUGAAACCCUGCACUUACAAGCUGUGGAAGCACAUUUCUUGUGUGA